GAGCCGCCGGCGCGCCAUACGAACGACGACGGGUCGCGCACUACGAGUAGGGCGCUGGUCGGCUCCGAAACCCCGAAGAAGAAGAAGAACAGAAUAAGAAAGAAGACGAAGAACAAGCCGAACAAGAAGCGGCGAGGAGGAAGAAAAGUGGUAGCAAAAUUAUAUUACGACGAUUAUAUUUUUGUUUGAAAGAAAUUAAACGACUGUAACAGCCGACGCAUCGACGUAAGAGGCUGCUUUUAGGCGAGAAAAGACCGAGGAAGAAACGAAUCUCUCGGCUCCAUACGGGGACAAAUUAUCUUGGUGAAAAUAGCGAGUGAAUUUAGCGAACAGGAUGUCUUCAGCGGUCGCUAAAGCUUCCAAGUACACGUACCGCUCCACCGGCGGUGGUACUGCCGAUGUCAGCAUCGAAUACAGCGCCGACCUGAGCGCUCUCUCCAGACUGGAGGACAAAAUCCGCCUGCUGCAGGAUGACCUGGAGUCUGAGAGAGAGCUGCGUCAGAGGAUUGAACGCGAGCGCGCUGAUUUGAGCGUGCAAGUCAUCCAGCUGUCCGAACGUCUCGAAGAGGCAGAGGGUGGCGCCGAAUCUCAAUUCGAGAUUAACAAAAAGAGGGACACGGAACUGGCCAAGCUGCGCAAACUACUCGAAGAUGUUCAUCUCGAGAGCGAGGAAACCGCGCAUCUUCUGCGCAAGAAACACCAGGAAGUUGUUGUCGACUUCCAAGAUCAAAUCGACCAACUUUCGAAAGCACGCGCCAGAGCUGACAAGGAAAAAUCGAAAUUCCAACAAGAGGUAUACGAACUCCUCGCCCAGCUGGACAAUGUGACGAAAGAAAAAUUGAUGUCAAUAAAAACUGUGGAGAAACUCGAAGUGCAUGUAGCCGAGCUUAACGUGAAAAUUGAAGAAUUGAAUCGUACCGUCAUCGACAUCACCAACCACAAAACCAGGAUCUCACAGGAAAAUAUCGAAUUGACGAAGGAAGUGCAGGACUUGAAGGUUAACAUCGAGAACGCUGUUUACCUGAAGACUCAGCUGGCGGGUCAGCUCGAAGAUGCUCGCCGUCGUCUCGAGGAUGAGGAUCGUCGUCGUUCAUUGGUCGAGGCCUCCUUACAUCAGGUUGAAUCGGAAUUGGAAUCCGUUCGCAUUCAAUUGGAAGAGGAAUCGGAAGCUCGUUUGGACAUCGAACGUCAAUUGGUCAAAGCAAACGGCGAAGUGCAAGUUUGGAGAUCGAAGUAUGAAACCGAAGCUAACGCUCGUGCCGAAGAGGUAGAGGAACUACGUCGUAAAUACGGAGCUCGCAUUCAGGAACAGGAAGAGCAGAUUGAAACUCUGCUCGUCAAGAUCAACAACCUCGAGAAGCAGAAAUCCCGCCUGCAAUCUGAAGUAGAAGUGCUGAUCAUCGACUUGGAAAAGGCCAAUGGAACAGCUCGCGAACUGCAAAAACGCGUGGAACACUUGGAGAAGAUCAAUAUCGAACUCAAGGCUCGCUUGGAUGAAAGCGUGGCAAUGUAUGAACAAAGCCAACGUGAUCUCCGCAACAAACAACAAGAACUCCAGCGCACCAACGCCGAACUCGACAAGACUCGCGAGCUGAAAGACCAACUGGCUCGUGAAAACAAGAAAUUGGGAGAUGACUUGAACGACGCCAAGAACCAGCUGUCUGAUAUGAACCGCAGACUUCACGAACUGGAACUCGAACUCCGUCGGUUGGAGAACGAGCGUGAGGAACUCGCUGCCGCCUACAAAGAAGCCGAAGCAGGACGCAAGAUCGAAGAACAGCGCGCUCAAAGACUGUCUGCUGAGUUGACCCAACUUCGUCACGAUUACGAACGUCGCCUGACUGAGAAGGAUGAAGAAAUCGAAAUCAUCCGCAAACAGACCAGUAUCGAGAUCGAGCAGCUGAAUGCCCGCGUGGUUGAGGCGGAGACGAAGUUGAAGUCCGAGGUGCAGCGCGUGAAGAAGAAGAUGCAGAUCCAGAUUACCGAACUGGAACUGUCUCUGGACGUUGCCAACAAGAACAACAUCGACUUACAGAAGACCAUCAAGAAGCAAUCGCUCACUUUGACCGAACUCCAAGCCCACUACGACGAAGUUCAACGUCAACUACAGGUAACCCUAGACCAACUGGGUAUCAGUCAACGACGCCUGCAAUCGUUGACAGCUGAGCUAGAGGAAGUACGCGGCAAUUACGAAUCUGCCCUCCGCUCAAAGAGAACCGUCGAGCAGCAAUACGAGGAGUCGGUUAGUCGCAUCAACGAAUUGACUACCAUAAAUGUGAACAUCGCUUCGUCGAAAGCGAAACUCGAGCAGGAACUGGCUACCCUGGCCGGAGACUACGAAGAAGUGACGAAGGAGCUGAGAGUGAGCGACGAGCGAUACCAACGGGUACAGACCGAACUGAAGCACACCGUGGAGAUCCUGCACGAGGAACAAGAACGUAUCGUUAAGAUCGAGGCCAUCAAGAAGUCCCUUGAAAUUGAAGUGAAGAACCUGUCCGUGAGAUUGGAGGAAGUCGAGGCGAACGCUAUCGUCGGUGGCAAGCGUAUCAUCAGCAAACUCGAGGCUAGGAUCCGCGACUUAGAGCUGGAACUUGACGAAGAGAAGCGCAGACAUGCCGAGACUGUGAAGAUUCUCCGCAAGAAGGAACGCAACAUCAAGGAGGUGAUGAUUCAGGUAGAGGAGGACGCGAAGAACAUUGCGUUGUUACAAGAAUCGUUGGACAAGGCGAGCCAGAAAGUGAACAUCUACAAGAGACAACUGCAAGAACAGGAAGGCAUGUCCCAGCAGAGCGUGACCAGGGUCCGCCGAUUCCAAAGGGAAUUGGAGGCUGCUGAAGAUCGUGCUGAUACCGCUGAGAGCAACUUGACUCUGAUCCGCGCAAAACACCGCAGCUUCGUCACCACCUCCAGCGUGCCCGGUUCUCAGGUGUACCUCGUCCAGGAGACGAGGUCUGACCUGUAAAAACGCCAUCGCCAUCGACACCCCAUCCUUUGCCACUUCGAACGCCACCUCGUCGUCUUUAGAAACGUGUCACGAGCAAACGACGAAGAAAAGGAAGAGCCUCGAUACGUCAUCGUUAGUUGAAAGAGCCGAGAAGAGUUUCCAACGGGCCGUACCGCGAACAUCGUAAGGAAGAAGCAACGAGGAAAAGAAACAGUAUCGAAAUGUCGUGUCAUCUUAUUUAAUUGUAUUAUGACAACGCCCAACGACCCGUCGCAAAUUCAAAAUACUUGGCCAACGAAACGCGGUACCCGUCGUAACGAACCAAAUAAAUGCAAAAACCGAAAAGGCAUAAGCAUUAAUGAACAAGCAACGUGAAGGAAGCAACCAUCUUAAAACGCAUAACACCGUCGCUAUUCGAUUAAAUGGAUUAAUCAACCCAAAAAAUGAAAAUAUAUACACAUACAUACAUAUUAUACAAUAUUAUACACGCAAAAAAAUCAACAACGAUUCGUUAUAUCUUCCUUGUAUCCGUUAUGUCAGCAUCACGAAGCGUAAGGAGUGGAAAUAUUAUAAAUAUAUAAAUAAAUAAAUAAAUAAGGAAAAAAGUAAAAGAAAUUAAAUGAAAAACGCGAGACGUAGAUUUAACUUUCUUUCUCUCUCUCUCUCUCUCUCUCCUUACGCCUCUUUGAUCGCGCGUGUCGCACUUGUAUUUAAAUGGAUUAACUUUAAUUCUACUUCUACUAUUAUAUUAUAGAUAGGUAUUAUUGCCCAUACACACAACUCUCACUGUACGACAUACACGAUAACCUGUGUCAAACAAUAAUUUAAUAAAUAAACUGAAACACGUA